AAAAAAAAAAAAAAACUCAAGAACACAAGAAAAAAGAAGCAGUUUUUUUUGCCCGUCUCAUCUUCUUCUUCUCCCUCUCGCCGCGCUUCUUGCACGCAGCAAUCUCUCUCUCUCUCGCCGCCGUCAAUCCCACCACGAAUUCUCCGGUGGCUGGCUGCUCUCGACUCCUUCGCGCGUCGAUUUCAUGCGGCCGGGUGGUUGCCCGCCUCCUCCCGAACGAUCCCUCGCCGCCGCCGCUGCCGCUCAUCGGCGUUGUCAUCCACCACCGCCGCCGCUCCUCCGCCGCGGACGUGCCUCGCCGGCGGCGAGCCGAGCGGUGAGUUCUGCCCCGUGUGGUGUGGACUCGUAGAGUGGCCGUGGAUCUGCCGCGGCGACGUAAUCUGCUCCGGUUUUUCCUCGACCUCUCGAUCCCUCUUCUACCCUCGCGUCCCCAACUCCUAUCCGCGCUCAGGAUCGUAUUCCGGGGAAUCGCAGGGCUCGCCGUCGAAAGGAUCCAAUUUUUUUCGACUGCAGAAUCCCCUCACGGACGCGAGGAAUUUCGUCGUAGGUGGAGCACACGCGGGGAGUGUUUUUGACAGAGCUUGAUUUCAACGGAUGAACAUGUGUGAGAAAGAUCAAAAUUUCCACUGGGGUUAUGACCUUUUCCGUGACCCUUUUGCUCCUAUCGGGUACUAUGGACCUCCUCAUGGUUACGGUGAUGGCAACUAUUGUGACCUCCAUUAUGCUAGAGAUGCAUCACAUCUGGAUGAGACGCACUUGCAUUCUUCUGCACUGACAUAUGAUUUGUACAACCCAUCAGUAGGCAUCUACCAUCCUGGAAAUGCUGGUGAGCAUGACCAUGACACAGUCUAUAUAGAGCCGACUAGUUCCAAUUCAUGCCCAGACACUGACGACAGUUUCCCAAUGGAUGAAGAAGUAGGAAAGAGGUUUUACCCCAUGGUGCCAGUUCCCCAUGUUCCUAAAAUUAAUGGAGAGAUCCCUUCAGUCGAUGAAGCUACCAUGGACCAUGAAAGGCUGACAGAAAGGUUGAGGUUGUAUGAACUAGUUGAGCACAAGGUGAAAGGAGAUGGCAACUGUCAGUUUCGGGCACUAUCAGAUCAACUGUAUCAAAGUCCCGAUCACCAUGAGUUUGUGAGGCAGCAGAUUAUGAGCCAGCUUAAAAGUAACCGUGAUGCCUACGAUGGAUAUGUCCCCAUGGCAUAUGACGAUUACUUGGAGAAAGUAUCACAAAAUGGUGAAUGGGGUGACCAUGUGACUCUACAGGCUGCUGCUGACAAGUAUGGAGUUAAGAUUUUCGUGAUGACAUCGUUCAAGGAUACGUGCUACAUUGAGAUCCAACCAAAGGUUCAGAAGUCCAACAAAGUGGUGCUGUUGAGCUUUUGGGCGGAGGUUCACUACAACUCCAUAUAUCCGCAGAACGGUGAGUAGGCCCUGCCUGCCAUUGGCAUACGAUGCAAUGCAUGUCCGGUCUUCGUCGCCAGCAUGCGCCGAGGUCGCAGACGACGAGGAAGAGGAGAUGGUGGCCGUUCUCUCACAACCACCACCAUCACCACCAUUGAUGCCUGGGCUGCAAAGCUUUUCUUCCUUGAUCAAGAUGACCCAGGUUGAUCAAGAUGACCCAGAAAGAAAGCUGGUGCUCAUUGUCUUGUUGGUCUGAUGACAAUCAUGGACAUCUGAUAGUAGGAGGAGGACAUUGUGGUGAUGAUUAUAUAUCUCCAAAUGAUAUAGAAGAUACAUGGAAAUAUGGAAUCCAUGGAAGGAAUAAUUUCGUCUUAGUCCGGUCCGGUCCCGUAUAUAGCUGCUGCUGAGCUGCACUGCACUGCAUUGCAUUCCCUGAAUCAAUUAUCAAUCACCUCACCUGUAUUAUUAUUUCUCAAAAAUUUUGCCGGAAUGAGGCUACAAUUAUUCAUUCGGAACGAAUGCCACCAUAUAAUACCAAUAAUGAUAAUGAUAAUUGACAUACUCCUACAGUUUGUUCA